UACGGGAGGCAGCAGUAGGGAAUUUUCGGCAAUGGGGGAAACCCUGACCGAGCAACGCCGCGUGAGCGAAGAAGGCCUUCGGGUCGUAAAGCUCUGUUGUAAAGGAAGAACGGCGCAUACAGGAAAUGGUAUGCGAGUGACGGUACUUUACCAGAAAGCCACGGCUAACUACGUGCCAGCAGCCGCGGUAAUACGUAGGUGGCGAGCGUUAUCCGGAAUCAUUGGGCGUAAAGAGGGAGCAGGCGGCCGCAAGGGUCUGUGGUGAAAGACCGAAGCUAAACUUCGGUAAGCCAUGGAAACCGGGCGGCUGGAGUGCGGAAGAGGAUCGUGGAAUUCCAUGUGUAGCGGUGAAAUGCGUAGAUAUAUGGAGGAACACCAGUGGCGAAGGCGACGGUCUGGGCCGCAACUGACGCUCAUUCCCGAAAGCGUGGGGAGCAAAUAGGAUUAGAUACCCUAGUAGUCCACGCCGUAAACGAUGGUCACUAAGUGUCGGGGGUCAAACCCCGGUGCUGCAGUCAACGCAAUAAGUGACCCGCCUGAGUAGUACGUUCGCAAGAAUGAAACUCAAAGGAAUUGACGGA
rnacentral:rRNA from 1 species